GACAGAGGGUGCAAACGUUGCUCGGAAUUACUGGGCGUAAAGCGUGCGCAGGCGGUUCGUUAAGUCAGAUGUGAAAGCCCCGGGCUCAACCUGGGAACUGCAUUUGAAACUGGCGGGCUUGAGUAUGGCAGAGGGGGGUGGAAUUCCGCGUGUAGCAGUGAAAUGCGUAGAGAUGCGGAGGAACACCGAUGGCGAAGGCAGCCCCCUGGGCCAAUACUGACGCUCAGGCACGAAAGCGUGGGGAGCAAACAGG
rnacentral:rRNA from 1 species